rnacentral:tRNA from 1 species
UCCCAGGUGGCUCAGUGGUAAAGAAUCUGCCUGUAGUGCAGGAGAUGCAGGUUCGAUCCCUGGUCUGAGAA